rnacentral:rRNA from 1 species
UGGGGAAUAUUGGACAAUGGGCGAAAGCCUGAUCCAGCCAUGCCGCGUGUGUGAAGGAGGCCUUUUGGUUGUAAAGCACUUUAAGCGAGGAGGAGGCUACUUGGAUUAAUACUCUAGGAUAGUGGACGUUACUCGCAGAAUAAGCACCGGCUAACUCUGUGCCAGCAGCCGCGGUAAUACAGAGGGUGCGAGCGUUAAUCGGAUUUACUGGGCGUAAAGCGUGCGUAGGCGGCUUUUUAAGUCGGAUGUGAAAUCCCUGAGCUUAACUUAGGAAUUGCAUUCGAUACUGGGAAGCUAGAGUAUGGGAGAGGAUGGUAGAAUUCCAGGUGUAGCGGUGAAAUGCGUAGAGAUCUGGAGGAAUACCGAUGGCGAAGGCAGCCAUCUGGCCUAAUACUGACGCUGAGGUACGAAAGCAUGGGGAGCAAACAGG